CUCGGAGCCGGGUCCUGUGCAGAGAAGCCCAGAGAACACGCGUGGCGCACACACACACACACAACAGGCACACGUAGGCCAGCUCAGGUGGGGCCGUAGGCCCAAGAUGGGAAGGGAACGGGCUCCCAGCCACCCGGAGGACAGGGGACACGGAGAUUUGGGGGAGGCCUGCUGUUUAAGAGGCCUCUCUCGAUGACAAGCUGGGUCUGGAGGCCCCCAGCUGCCCUCCACAAACACAGGCAAGGUGCAGCCUCUCAAGCUUUCUACCUACCACUGGCAGAGUACCGCUGGUGACGCCACUCGGCGAGCGCAAGUGGAUAAAUAGAAACGUCUGCCACUGCGAAGAUGAAAGGAGACCGGCGGCUAAUGGCUCGGCAGUGAUGCGCCAGGUGGCCUGGCUCUUUCCAGAACCUAGCUUGACCUCAAGGUGGUUUUGCUGGAAGAAACCGUUUCCGUUUGCUCCAGCCUCGCCGGCACUUCAGAUGAAGAGAGGUGGCAUUUCUGAUAGGAGGAAGAAGAGAAGAGGAGGGCCGUGGACACCAACGCGCCUUUUGUUUGCCUUGGUGUGGUACUGUGCAGGGCGAGCGUUUCCCCAGCGUCCUCACCGCGGUGUUGCGGAGGGGAGAAGGAAGGUAAAGCCCCAGAACGAGGCAAGCCCCCCGCGACGCCAGAACGGCUGGGAGUGGGUGGCAGCGCCCCAAUAGGCUCCCCUACGCCUCCCCCACCCCGCCCCCGCUGCUUCUCACCUCCCCCUCCCCGCGGGCCUGCAGCCCCUUCUCCCGCUGGGGCGCCGGGCUCUGGGCCAGCCGGCUCCUCUCGGAUUGAAAUUCUCUGGACUUCAAAAGCGCCGGGCCCCGCUUCCGGCCGGACUGGGCAGGGCCGGGGGUGGGUGGGAACCCCGGGGGAGGCGACGCGAAGAUUAGACGCGCGGGUCGUUUAAAAUGGAAUCGGAAGCCGGGCUUGGGCCACCGGACUGGCUGUCUGGACGGCUUCGAUUCCCAAGAAAACCCCGCUUCGCAGGGCUGGGGGCUUCGUGGGCUAUCGGCCUUGGCCCCAAGCACGAUAGGGCUUCCCCGCCACAAGCACCGAUCCAGGCCAAGCUCUGCGUGCACAGGGACCAGGCGCUGGCGUGCCUGCUUCGGUGUCGGCUAAAAUUCGACCGGGAAGAGGGUUUUUGCUUCUCUCCUUGGUGAAAUGCAAGAACAAAGGGAGCUUCCUUGUAAACAAUGAGCGUCGCCUGGAUUUUGAUCUUGGGCCCUGGGUCAUCUCAUCUCCCAGUCUGCGGCGUGGCUGUCGCCGUCGAGGUUUUCUGGCGACUGGGUCUCCCGCCGCGGAGGGGCGGGUCUGGCGAUGGCCCCGCAGCUCACUCCCCUCUGCAAACCCAGCGCCGCUGCAGGGUGCAGCCCUGGGGACCAGAGUCCACUGAAGGCCAGGCUUCCCCUAGCGAGAGGGGAGAUAACGGCUGGACAUCUUGUCGCCCGCCGGGCAGUGAGCUGCAGAGUCUGCGCGAAUCCGCGGGACAAUUUCUCCUUCCGACGGGGAGGCUGCACCUCCUGGGACUCUGCUUCCCAAAGCGUCCCCUCUCUCUCCGCCUAGGGCUGUGGCCUGGAACAUGAAGCUGAAAGCUUUCUGGCCCCGACCACCUACAGCUCCAACAAGCCCUUCCUCUACACCUGUCUGCCUGGGCUCCUAGCAGAGUCUCAGCCUUGAGCCAGGGUUGUCCUCUCCUGGCAUCUUAGGUCCCCACUCCCACCACUGGCCUGUCCCAUAGCUGGAGGACAGAGCAGACUCCUUGAGGGCCUCCCCAGGCUGAAGGUUUGUGCCUGCCUCACACCACCUGUCCAAGAACAGUUCUCCAACCUGGCAGGCACAGAGACUGGGUCCCCUCCCUCCCCCACACAGCAGAGAUGAAUGGGUUCUUCCUUCACCGUGACUGUCCUGAAAUGUAAUUCAUUACAAAGCACGUCCACACCCAUUCCUCAUUUAUAUCCUUUAAAAUGCCUUAGCAGACCUCAGCGCCUUUUCUCUCCAGUUGUGGGGUAGACAGAAGUUUGGCUCAAAUGGCCAAACCAUGACCCAGGCUGAGUCCUCCUCCCUGGCCCUGAGCUGCCAGCUUGCCUGAACCAUUAAAAAGCCCUAACUCCCCUUAGGCAAUCCUCUACCAAGCCUCAGCCCUUGUUAGGGUCUGGGGCAGGUUCUGGGGCCUCUCAGAGGGUGCCCUGCCCAUCCUCCACUUGACAUAGGGUUCUACGCCAUCUACAUGGCUAAAAGGCUCAGGGCUCACACUGCUGGAUUCGUUCUCAUCCUGCCACACCACCAGACAUGCACACAGAUAACACAGAUACCCCAUCGCUGUUCUAAGCGUUCCCAGCCUCCAAACACAUUCUUAGAAGGGCAUUUGCAAUUAUCCCUAUUUUGCAUCUGAGAACCCUGCAAAUUCAUGCUCACAGCAGCUCAGCUGUUAGAAAGGUGCCAGGCAUUGGCUUCUGGGCUCUUCCAAAACCUCUGUUAGCGGCUUUUCUCCAGCUCACCCCCAGGUGAACUCCCAGGAGGGGAUGAGGAGGAGCAAGCAAGCACUUCUCUGGACUUAAAGGAGAAUAAAGAACAAAUAGCUCCAGACCAUUUAGGACCUUGUUCUCUUCUGGGUCGGGGAUCAGAGGCUAGGUGGGGACAGUGCAGGGGAGAUGUGAGAAGGCUGGGAAAUGGGGUAGCAGGUGGAGUCUUCAAGAUCUGAGUUCAGAAAUAGCUGGAAAGGCACUGCAGCCAAUUCUGGAGACCCUAGGAGGCAAUGCCCAGGUCCUCUCUAACCAUCUCAAUCCACAGAAGCCCACAGCCCCUGUCUGAAAAGGAAUAGGGUCACCCAGCCAGUUUUACCUGUCUGGUAGCCCGCUCCCCAGGAGUAGCUGGCCUUGACCUUCAGUUCCUGAGGUUCCAUUACCUGCCCCCCACCUCCCAUCCCCCCUUUCUGCUAAGAAUAUAAAUGAGGAAUGGGUGUAGAACCACCACCACCCACCCACCCCAGGCACCAUGACCUGGUCCAUUUGCUGGGGGUGGAGCUUUACCAGGGAGCUCUCCCUCCCAUGGCAGCUACCUCCCUCAAGUGUCUCUCCAGGAUUGAUUAGCCAAAGGGACAAAACCUGAGGGUCUGUCCAGGCCUGCCCACACAGCCACCUGGCCUGAGCACGUCCUCCACACAAACCCUCCAGGCCUUGAUCUCACAUCUGGACAGAGUGGGGUCUGUCAAAGGCAGAGCCUGCGGAGAGCUGACCCUCACUUGUUAUAAAGGGGACUUGGAGUGUGGGUCAUUGUUGCCAUGCCACACGGGACACACACCCAGUAAUAAUAAAAGAGGGCUCCUGCACACUGAAGUGCCUGCCAGGGCCCCCAGCCAAGGGAUCCAGGACGCAGCUAAGCAGAAUCAUGAAGUUAGAAUCUCUCCUGCGCAGCUUCACUGGCCCCAAAUUCUCCCUUUCUGUGUGCUCUCCAGCCGGCUCUCGGUUCCUGGAGGAGGAAUAUGUCCUAGCCCUUUCCUCUCUCCACCAGACUGGAGCCCCCAGGGAUUCCCGCUGCCACAGGGGAGAGUCGCUCCACACCCAGUCCCCUGCCCUCAGCCAGCGAGUUCAGCUGGUUGGACAGGCUCCGAGUCUCUCAGAAAUAGGACAACCUUCCUGUGAGGGGUUCCGGCUGACUUUUACAGAGCCCCCUCCGAUUGAGCUCCACCGUGGGGUACGGUCCCUCCCGUUGCGCAGCGGAAAACAGAGAGGUCGGGGAACUUGCCCAGGGUCACACAGCUGCGAAGUGACAGAGUCCGAAUUUUAACCCAAGACGCCCACGCCUCCAGAAGUCAGAUUCUCUCUUCAGCUUCGGCAUAGCGUUCCCGGGACCCGGGACCACAUCCCUGAACACUCAGGCGGACAACUGCUACCCCGCGGUGCUACCCCGCGGCCCAGGACGGGGAACACCCAUUCCAGGUUGGUCGGGCGAGGGCUGCUCGGCCGUUCGGUUAAUGCCCGGGGUAGGGCAUGAGGAGAGGGUGGAUAAUCCGCAGGGCGCCGCGACCUGGAAGGACUGCGCGCUCCAGGCCCGCAAGUCUGGCAGCAAAGGGCAGGGCGCGCGCGUAUCCCCAGCUUUGGGUUUCAGAGGAUGGGUGCGGGCUCCUGGGGGCUUGCUGCGGCCAAGGGGGCCAUCAGCUCAGGAGAUGGGGCGCCGCCGGCCCGGGACAGGGCUCCGCGCAUACGAGGGGCCGGGCCGAGUGGCUCACUCCCUUCUGCUCCCACCCCAACCAAGGGAACGCACCAGGUGCAGCCAGGGGCCCCCUGAAAGACCCUUCCCCGCCUGGCAGCAGGUGAACCGCCCCGUCCUGUCCCCGCGGCCCCUUCUUGCGUCCUCCGCCCCAAUUGCCGCGGUGACACAGCGCGGCUCCCGAACUGCUGUCUUGGUGCGCCCCCCACUGCCGAGCGCCAGAGGCGGAAGUCGCAGCGCGUCGCAGCAUCCUGGCUGGCCCGGGGCCCGCCACUGUGCCGGAGGCAGCGGGGUCCUACCGCGCCCUGCAAGCUGGACCCCAGGAGGUGCAGGCCGGGAUUUGCGGCUCCGUCGUCCCGGCUGCACAGAACCCGCAAUGGGGACGACAGGGAUCUAGCCUGUCGCUGGCGACGCUACCCGCCCUCUUCCUCUGUGGUCCAGGAAGGCCAGGAAUUGGGGAGCCCCUGGGCCUGCUGGCUGCAUGGUGCUUGGGCUGAGCUUUCUCGGGCUUCCCUUGCUUUUGAGGCCCAUGUACCAAGAAGACAGUCUCACCACCAUCCUAUAGUUCUGACUUGGGGUCCCCAGACCCCCUGAGAACUCCCUAGGAAUACGGAUGUCCGUGCAGACCCGUUGAAGCAGAAAGCCGGGGAAGUGGACCCAGCAAUGUCUGAACAAGUCCUUGCAGAGGCUCUGCUCCCUAAGUUCCUGGGUUCUCCACUCUGCCUGCUUUUUAGACGUGCAUGGGGUUAAAGAGCAGUGUCUAGAGCACAGCUUCAUGCAUCUGUUGCCAGAACUUUCCACAAAACCCUGCUGUUUGCACUGUAUCACCUCCAGGUAUCUCCUCGCGCACUAACUUAUGACCUAAUGAGGUCAUUAUCUACCUGAGUGCUUGCUCUUCCUCUCAUUCAUGCCUGGGCACAGGAGAAUCCUACCGCAGCCGCUGAAGCAUGCUGGAAAACCUGUCAGACUCAGAGAUUUCUCUUACACAAAAAAGCCCUGGGAUGUGAUUGGCUUAUGUGCGCCAGUGUGGGGAAGAAGAGCAAAUCUUGCGUAUUUGGGUACUGUGUCUGAAGACUCCUCUCCCAUUGUGCUGGGGAGCAGAACAGUGGAAAGAGGGCCAAGCGGGUCACGAAGCAGCAAAAGGUAAAGCACAGAAAUAGUGUGCGGUUUUUCAAUCUUUUUCUUUUUUAAAGAUUUAUUUAUUUAUUUGAAAGGCAGAGUUACAGAGGGUGGAGAGAGAGAGAGAUCUUCCAUCUGCUGGUUCACUCCCCAAAUGGCCACAGAAAGGCUGGGGCUGGGCCAUUCUGAAGCCAGGAGCCAGGAGCUUCUUCUGGGUCUCCAUGUGGGUGCAGGGACCCAUGUCCUUCGCCAUCCUCCACUGUUUUCCCAGGCCACCAGCAGAAAGCUAGAUCAGAAGUGGAGCAACUAGGACUCGAGCUGGUAUCCAUAUGGGAUGCUGGCAUUGCAGAUGAUGGCUUAACCAAUUAUACCGCAAUGCUGGCCCCAUAGUCUGGUUGUUUUGUUAAGGCUUACCAAUUUGUUUAUUUUGAAAGGCAGAGUGAAAGAGAGAAAAUCUUCCAUCUGCUGGUUCACUCCCCAAAUGCUGCAAGCAAAAGCCAGGUCUGGGCUAGGCCAAAAACCAGGAGCCAGGAACUCCAUCUGUCUCCCACAUGGAUGGCAGGGGCCCAUCUGCUGCUGCCUUUCCUGCACAUUAGCAGGAAGCUGGCUCAGAAGCAGAGCAGCCAAAACUCCCACCAGCGCUAGGGGAUGCUGGUGUCACAAGCAUCAGUGUAACCAACUGCAACACAACAAGAGCCCCAGAAACAGGUUUCCUAGGGGCCCCUAAAGACUGUGGGCAAAGACCCAGGAGGUUCUCCUAGUGCCUCCUUCUGGCAGGAUCCUAGGUUUGAGUUACAGGAUUUUUUUCUUUUUUUUUUUAAGUUUUUUUUUAAUUGUUAUUAUUUUAAAGCUAGAGCAACACAGAGAGAUUUUUUUCCAUCUGUUGGUUCACUCCCCCAAAAGCCCAGAACAGCUGGGGCUUUGCUAGGAUGAAGCCAGGAGCCAGGAAUUCCAUCCACAUCUCCCGUGUGGAUGGCAGGGACCGAAGAACUUGAGUCUUAAUCUCAUGUCUCCCAGGGUGUGCAUUAGCAGGAAGUUGGCUUAGAAAUGGAGGUAGGACUGGACCCCAGGCACUCUAUUCAUUUAUUUAUUUAUUUAACAGGUAGAGUUAUAGACUGUGAGACAGAGAGAAAGGUCUUCUUCCGUUGGUUCACUCCCCAAAUGGCUGCCAUGGCCAGCGCUGCACCGAUCCGAAUCCAGUAGUCAGGCACUUCUCCCUGGUCUCCUACACGGGUGCAGGGGUCCCAGCACUUGGCCAUCCUCCACUGCCUUCCUGGGCCACAGCAAAGAGCUGGACUGGAAGAGGAGCAACCGGGACUAGAACCCAGCACCCAUAUGGGAUGCCGGCGCCACAGAUGGAGGAUUAACCAAGUGAACCAUGGCACCAGCCCCUCCAGGCACUCUUGUGUGGGGUCCUGGCAUCACAAGCCAUGGCUUAACCCACUGCACCACAACAUCUGCUUCAAAAAGACUUUUCUUUGGGGACAGCUCAAGAUGGUCAUUUGGCAUUUGCUAUGACUGUUUAAAAGCAAAUAGAUUUAUGGAGCAGGCAUUGUGGUGUAGCAGGUUAAGUUGCUGUUUGCAAAGCUCACAUUCCCAUAUUGGAGUGAUGGUUUGAGUCCCAACUCUUUUGUUUUCAAUACAGCUUCUUGCUAAGGCACUUGGGAAGGGAGAAAAGAUUAUAAAUUAGGCAGCAUGGGGCCAUGUUGCCCCCAGGAUUACCCAGGAGUAAUAUCCAGUACCCAAGAAUAAAGAUAACUAUAGAUGUCUUCCAUAGUUAUAUCUUUAUAGUUAGAGUUAACAGUGCUGAAUGCUUUGCAUAUAUUAUGUCACUCCUCAAAAUUCCAGGAGGGAAGUAGCAAUAGCUGUCAUAACCAUCACAUUCUACAGACAGAGAUGUUAAGUCAAAAAAGGGUUAAAUGCUUGAUCAAGAUUUUGGAGGAGGGCAAGACUCGCAUCAUGGCCUUGUGGGUGAAGCCACAGCUUAGGAUGCUGCAUCCUCUAUCAGAGCACUGGUUCAAGUCCCAGAACCUCUGCUUCUGAUCUGGCUCCCUGCUAAUGCACCCGGGAGGCAACAGAUGAUGGGCCCAUGCCACCCAUGUGGGAGACCGGGAUGGAGUUCCUGGCUUCUGGCUUCACCCUGACCCAGUCAUGGCUGUUGUGGGUAGUGAACCAGUGAACAAACGAACUCUCACUCUGUAUUUCAUCGCUCUUCCUUUCUAAUAAAUAAACAUAAAAAAGAGGACAGUUAUUUGAAAAGAAAAGUCACACAGCCUAUAGUGGCAGAAGUGAGACUCGAAUUCCAGCUGUGACACCAGGGGCCAGGCUCCUACUCACUGGGCUCAGUCUCUGCCCAUGGAAGCCAAGCUCUCAAAGACUGAUAUCAUUUCCAAAGGCAGCUGUUUGUCCCACUUGAUACAGAAGUCUUACAAAAUAGAACAGAUGAGGCCAGCGCUGUGGCAAGGCGGCUUAAGCUGGUGCCUGCAGUGCCAGCAUCCCAUAUGGGAACUGGUUUAAGUUCUGGCUGUUCCACUUCUGAUCCCAGCUCUCUGCUAUGGCCUUGGAAAGCAGUAGAAGAUGGCCCAAGUCCUUGGGGCCCUGCACCCACAUGGGAGACCCAGAAGAAGCUCCUGGCUCCUGGCUUCAGAUUGGUGCAGCUCUGGCCAUUGCAGCCAUCUGGGGAGUGAACCAGUGGAUGGAAGACACUCUCUCUCUCAGUGUGUGUGUGUGUGUGUGUGUGUGUGUGUGCAUGUGUGUGUGUGUGUAGCUCUGACUUUCAAAUAAAUAAAUAAAUCUUAAAAAA